CUACAUUUAGUAGCACAUAUACUAAAACUGGAACAAUACAGAGAAGAUUAACAUGCCCCCUGCGCAAGGAUGACACACAAAUUCAUGAAGCAUUCCGUAUUUUU